rnacentral:rRNA from 1 species
UACGUAGGGUGCAAGCGUUAAUCGGAAUUACUGGGCGUAAAGCGUGCGCAGGCGGCUUUGCAAGACAGAUGUGAAAUCCCCGGGCUUAACCUGGGAACUGCAUUUGUGACUGCAUGGCUGGAGUGCGGCAGAGGGGGAUGGAAUUCCGCGUGAGCAGUGAAAUGCGUAGAGAUGCGGAGGAACACCGAUGGCGAAGGCAGCCCCCUGGGUCGACACUGACGCUCAGGCACGAAAGCGUGGGGAGCAAACAGGAUUAGAUACCC